rnacentral:misc_RNA from 1 species
GCAAACUUGGUCAUUUAGAGGAAGUAAAAGUCGUAACAAGGUCUCCGUUGGUGAACCAGCGGAGGGAUCAUUACCGAGUUUACAACUCCCAAACCCACUGUGAACUUAUACCUUUACACCGUUGCUUCGGCGGGUCUUCGCCCCGGGCACCAGGCCACCUCCCCCCUCGCUCCGGCGCGGGGGUGGCGCGCCGGGACCCGGAACCAGGCGCCCGCCGGGGGACCAAAACUCUUGUAUCUUCUCACUUUUGGCAUGUCUGAGUGGAAUCAUUACACAAAUGAAUCAAAACUUUCAACAACGGAUCUCUUGGUUCUGGCAUCGAUGAAGAACGCAGC